rnacentral:rRNA from 1 species
GGGGAUCGGUUUAUCGGAAUUACUGGGCGUAAGCGCACGCAGGCGGUCUGUCAAGUCGGAUGUGAAAUCCCCGGGCUCAACCUGGGAACUGCAUUCGAAACUGGCAGGCUAGAGUCUUGUAGAGGGGGGUAGAAUUCCAGGUGUAGCGGUGAAAUGCGUAGAGAUCUGGAGGAAUACCGGUGGCGAAGGCGGCCCCCUGGACAAAGACUGACGCUCAGGUGCGAAAGCGUGGGGAGCAAACAGGAUUAGAUACCCUGGUAGUCCACGCUGUAAACGAUGUCGAUUUGGAGGUUGUGCCCUUGAGGCGUGGCUUCCGGAGCUAACGCGUUAAAUCGACCGCCUGGGGAGUACGGCCGCAAGGUUAAAACUCAAAUGAAUUGACGGGGGCCCGCACAAGCGGUGGAGCAUGUGGUUUAAUUCGAUGCAACGCGAAGAACCUUACCUGGUCUUGACAUCCACAGAACUUAGCAGAGAUGCUUUGGUGCCUUCGGGAACUGUGAGACAGGUGCUGCAUGGCUGUCGUCAGCUCGUGUUGUGAAAUGUUGGGUUAAGUCCCGCAACGAGCGCAACCCUUAUCCUUUGUUGCCAGCGGUUAGGCCGGGAACUCAAAGGAGACUGCCAGUGAUAAACUGGAGGAAGGUGGGGGAUGACGUCAAGUCAUCAUGGCCCUUACGACCAGGGCUACACACGUGCUACAAUGGCAUAUACAAAGAGAAGCGACCUCGCGAGAGCAAGCGGACCUCAUAAAGUAUGUCGUAGUCCGGAUUGGAGUCUGCAACUCGACUCCAUGAAGUCGGAAUCGCUAGUAAUCGUAGAUCAGAAUGCUACGGUGAAUACGUUCCCGGGCCUUGUACACACCGCCCGUCACACCAUGGGGAGUGGGUUGCAAAAAGAAGUAGGUAGCUUAACCUUCCGGGAGGGCGCUUACCACUUUGUGAUUCAUGACUGGGGUGAGCUAGAAAAGGGGCCCCCCCAAAAAAAAAAAAAAAAAGGAAAAAAAAAAAGGG